rnacentral:misc_RNA from 1 species
UCCGACUUGACGUCGGCAGUCUCGUUAGAGUGCCCCACUUAAGGCAACACCUCACGGCACGAGCUGACGACGGCCAUGCAGCACCUGUGCGGGCUCCCGAAGGAGGACCGUAUUUCUACGGCUUCACCCCGCAUGUCAAGCCCUGGUAAGGUUCUUCGCGUCGCGUCGAAUUAAGCCACAUGCUCCGCCGCUUGUGCGGGCCCCCGUCAAUUCCUUUGAGUUUUAGCCUUGCGGCCGUACUCCCCAGGCGGGGCACUUAAUGCGUUAGCGCCGGCACGGAACCCGUCGAUAGAGCCCCACACCUAGUGCCCAACGUUUACGGCGUGGACUAC